AGUGAACGCUGGCGGUAGGCCUAACACAUGCAAGUCGAACGGCAGCACAGUAAGAGCUUGCUCUUACGGGUGGCGAGUGGCGGACGGGUGAGGAAUACAUCGGAAUCUACUUUUUCGUGGGGGAUAACGUAGGGAAACUUACGCUAAUACCGCAUACGACCUACGGGUGAAAGCAGGGGAUCUUCGGACCUUGCGCGAUUGAAUGAGCCGAUGUCGGAUUAGCUAGUUGGGGGGGUAAAGGCCCACCAAGGCGACGAUCCGUAGCUGGUCUGGGAGGAUGAUCAGCCACACUGGAACUGAGACACGGUCCAGACUCCUACGGGAGGCAGCAGUGGGGAAUAUUGGACAAUGGGCGCAAGCCUGAUCCAGCCAUACCGCGUGGGUGAAGAAGGCCUUCGGGUUGUAAAGCCCUUUUGUUGGGAAAGAAAAGCAGCAGGUUAAUACCCCGCUGUUCUGACGGUACCCAAAGAAUAAGCACCGGCUAACUUCGUG
rnacentral:rRNA from 1 species